AGAGUUUGAUCCUGGCUCAGGGUGAACGCUGGCGGCGUGCUUGACACAUGCAAGUCGAACGGUAUGUGGCAACACAUAGAGUGGCGAACGGGUGAGUAACACGUGGGAACGUAUCUUUUGCAGGGGGAUAACUGACCGAAAGGACAGCUAAUACCGCAUAAGUCCGGGAGGAGAAAGGUGCAACAGCAUCGGCAGAAGAGCGGCCCGCGGUCCAUCAGCUAGUUGGUGAGGUAAGGGCUUACCAAGGCGACGACGGAUAGCCGGCGUGAGAGCGUGGCCGGCCACAAGGACACUGAGAUACGGGUCCUACUCCUACGGGAGGCAGCAGUGCGGAAUUUUAGAUAAUGGAGGGAACUCUGAUCUAGCGACGCCGCGUGCAGGAAGAAGGUCUACGGAUUGUAAACUGCUGUGGUAAGGGAAAAAUGCUAUGUAGAGUGGAAAGCUACAUAGAGGGAUGGUACCUUACUAGAAAGCCCCGGCUAACUACGUGCCAGCAGCCGCGGUAAUACGUAGGGGGCGAGCGUUACCCGGAAUCACUGGGCGUAAAGGGAGCGUAGGUGGCCUAACAUGUCAACUGUGAAAACCCGGAGCUCAACUCCGGACUUGCAGUUGAAACUGGUAGGCUUGAGGACGGUAGAGGAAGACGGAACUGCCAGUGUAGGGGUAAAAUCCUUAGAUAUUGGCAGGAACGCCGGUGACGAAGGUGGUUUUCUGGGCCGGUUCUGACACUGAUGCUCGAAAGCCAGGGGAGCGAACGGGAUUAGAUACCCCGGGUAGUCCUGGCCCUAAACGAUGUUCACUAGGUGUGGGGAGCGGAAAGCUCUCCGUGCUAAAGCUAACGCGAUAAGUGAACCGCCUGGGGAUACGCCCGCAAGGGUGAAACUAAAGGAAUUGACGA
rnacentral:rRNA from 1 species